CACGUCAGUCCCUCUUUCUCACUCUCUCGGUUACCAUACAAGCGAACAAACUACCUGAAUACAUUGAUCGUUUUGGUGUUGGAUGAUCCAACUUGGAUCGCGAGGUAACAAAAACAUGAAAACUCUCUGUGGUGGAAUUUUAACUCAGUAGUUCAUACUGGCUUUUACCUGAGUUUGUUCUUUGGAGACGUCUACGACUAUACGUCGCGCGGUGGAUUUGCUGAAAAAAAUAUUAAACAGAAAAAAUUAUUUCUAUUUGUAAUAAAUUUGUUCUCUAAUACUCAUAUUUACUGUGGAUUCAUAAAAACAAGAAAAAAUCAAAAACAAAACUGUAUUUGAAUCUCAAUAAAAAUCGAAUACUCUUUGAAUUUGAAAAUAUUUUUUCUGUGAAAAUUCUGUUGUGUCGCUUAGAAAAAAUUCGUGUAUUUUAUAUUUUUUCGAGGUGUGUUUGUGUACCUACAUGGCUGUCCGGUCAUCCGUUUAUUGUAUUUGUGUAUUUACUGCGGUGGAGUUAUUUUGAGAUAAAUUCGCUUCGUAUCUGGCUUUGCUGUCUAAACCCGGUUUUUAGAAGAAAUUCUUGCGUCUUGGGACUGCCGUGAUCGUUCCCAGCCGCCCGCCACCCCGAGCCGGACCCGAACCAACCGAUCGCUUCAACAUCAACAUUCACGUUCACAUAUCACAUUCCUAACUUUUCUUGGUCGAUUUUCCGUCUAUGUUUCUCUUUCUUGCAAUAUCAAAAAUAUCUUCGUCUUUGUCGUUUUCGGGCAAAAGUGUCGGUCCCAUUCCCGCUGUAACUUUUCGGUUUUGUUUAUUUUGGAGAAAAAAUAUUUUGUUUUUUUUGUUGUUUUCUAUCACUUCGAAUUGGCGGUGAUAGGUUUGAUGCAAGAGUGUAUGCGUUGAUAGCAUAACGACAUAUAAAUGUGUAUAGGUGCUACAGGUGCAUCUCGCGAGUGUGUACAACUUCAUCGGUGUUAUUAAAUUUAUCUGUGUUAAUUAUGUUUAUUCGGAAGAGGCCGAAAAAAAUGAUGUAAAAGCAAAACCAGAAAUAUUUGUUUUAGACGAAAUAAAAGAGAAAAUAUUAAAAUAAUAUAAUUUUCAUUCAUAAAAAAAUAAGAAAUACAAAAGAAGUGAAAACAAGGAUCACUCGCCGCCACCGCGCCCGUAUUAAUAAAAAUCCACGGCCAAACGUACGCCGCUUGUUUACCUGUUUUUAAAUAAAGUAACCUUUCCUGGUGAAACCAUAAUUAACUUCGCCGACUGGUUUUACGCGAUAUUUGUUUUUAUUUGGAUUUGGACAUACAUAGAGAUAUUUCUUGUUUCUACAAACGGCAGCAAUACAAGCCUCAAUAUUUCAACAGAAAAACUGCUGAAUCAUUCCACAUCAACUGCUUGAAAUAAAACCACGUCAUGGUAUGAAGGAACCGAACAAUUUUGAAGAUAUUGCCGGGCCAGGACGGACAACCACUCAAGAGGUAAGCUUACGAUUAUUUAAAGAAAUGAACAAAGGGAGGACUGACUGUAAACAUUCUCCAAGGAAAUUUUUGAAACUUACGGACAAAACUUGAAAAAUAAAAAAAAUGUUUAGAACCUAAUGACGACUAUUAAAUUAAAUAUUAUAACCUUUUAUCGGUAUUUUUAAAAUAAUUUUGCAUAAUGCCUCAUUUACAAUAUUGCGAGACGAAGAGACGAGAGCGAGACGAGAUUUCUUCUUGGUUAUUUAAAUCGUUAGCCAUUCGGUAAUGUAUCAAUUUCUUUUAAGUAAUUGUUUAUUUUUGGCAGGAUAUAAAAGAAUGUGUGUCAAAAGAGGGAAACUAUUUGGCCAAACAUAGCAAACUGGAUAUCAAUUUUACUUAAGCAACGCUCUCGUCUCGUCGUCAUAUUAGCCCUGUUCCAUUGGAGGUGGUAGUUUACUCGUGAGUAGAAAUCUACUACAACAACUACACUUUCGUAUCUCCUCGAGUAGAAGAUCAUGUGUUAUUUGUAGUACUAGAUCUACUCAUGAGUAAACUACCACCUCCAAUGGAACAGGGCUAUUGUGAAUCAGGCAUAACUCACGUCAAACUGCUUGAAGCAUAGGUACAUAUGGAUUCGUGAUUCCGCUUUGGACUGGGUAAACCAAUUUUGAUGAUUCUUUUUUAAUUUGAAAGGAGCUUGCAUUUGAAUUUGGCCCAGUUCUGAUAUUGGGAACCAUGAGAAAACCGUUAUAUAAGUUUCGAUGCAUAGAACGGCCAUUCCAAAGUAACGGAGAAGACAUAUUUACCUUGUUUUCAGUCUAUCUCGUUGAAGAAGCAAUUUUUUUUCUUGAAACUUCGUAGGUUCAUGAUAAAGUUGAUGUUCUAGAAGUUUCACGAAAAACUAAUAAAACGUAGACAAAUUAUUCACAGAUAAAGGGUAAAUGGAAACUUCUAGAACAUCAACUUUUCCAUGAGCCCUUAAGACCCACCAAGUUUCAAGAAAAAAUAUUGCUUCUUCAACGAGAUAAACUGUAUAAUAAGCGUGAAAAUGUCCUAAAAGUUCAAAUGGAAUGGCCGAGAAGUCGUUUUUUUACAAAAAUAAUAUGAUUUAAUGAUGUAAUGACACUUGCGAUAGUCUGGAGGUCUGUUUUAAUCACUUAACUGAACUUUAGAAGUACUAUCUUUCCGAGGCAUCUUUCUAGAAGCAUUAGUCUUUUGAUUGUGCUUCGACUUCUUCAAUCUAACACCAAUAUUUAUAUUUGGUUUUUGAUGCAUUGAUGAAUUGUUGUGCUCUAAUAAAUUUCGCUUUCGAGAUUUUCAAUCACGUUGAAGGAGAAAUUGUAGGCAUUCAAGUCUCAAAUCUAUUUUUGAUAUUUAGUAGCCCCGGUCCUCCCAUAUUUUUUUAAAUUCCAUGUCAUAGUUUUCUGUGACACAUUUAAUCUUGUAGAAAUAUCACGUGUUGUCAAAUUGAGACAUGACAGAAGCAAAGUUUGUUUGCCCCUCCAACUGAUUUUUCCAAUUUUUUUCACCAAAUUUCUUCGUUCAUUUUGGACUGCUUUUUACGAGCCAAAGGCACCUUUUAUUCAUAAUAACAUUUACUUUUAGGUAUGCAAUAUUUGAAUGACAAUUUGCUAUCUAUCGCUAAUGGUAAUAAAAUGCUUGACCAACAUUUUUCGAACAGCACUGUAGUCAAUUAUGUACUUCAUAAAUUUAAUCUAGAAUCAGUACUUCUAAAUUUGAAUUAAUAGCUGCGUUCCUUUGGAAAUUUUAUCUACUUUUUAGUACUUAAAACUACUUUGAUCUACUUUGCUAUACUGAAAAAGUAGUUGUCAUGAACAUUUUGAUAUUUAAUUACAGCAAAAGUAAGAUAUUAUUAGCCUUGGUUUUUUAUUUUGUUAUUUGUAUAGAGGAGAAAUAAUUACCAUGUGCCCUUGGCUCACCAAGUUUUCAAUCUGUAAUUAAUUUUUUUCUACCUUGUUUCGGAAAGUAAGUUGUAAGUUAAAUAUUUCAAUAGUUUUUAUUUUUCUAACUUCAAAUACUUUUAUAGUAAAUUCUAACUAGCAGCAUUCAAUGAUUAGCUUCCAUUCUUCAUUUUGGAUAUUGUUUUUCUUUGUCUGGUUUAACUUACAACUUUGUCAUCAUUUUGCCUUUUUGUUUAAAAAAAAAAAAAAAAAUGAAAGAAACGUCGGUCGGUCGGCUAAAAAUACCAAAAAGAUAAAAUAAAAUGAAACUAAGCCUAGGUGAAAAGAAAAUAAAUUAAAAAAAGGAAUAUCAUACAAUUAAAGAAAAUAUAAACACAUACAUAAUAUAUGUAUGUAUUUAUAAAUACCUGCACACUAUUGCCAUCCUCGUUUUUGUUAUUACCCAUUGAUAUUCUCUACAAGUUAAAGAAUGCUAACCUUCAGGAAUUUAGUGUUGGAGUAGGACCAAGACGAAGCAGCCUUUGGCCCGAAUUGAUAAUUUAUCUCAUUUUUUAUUUUCAUUUCUAUUAAUUUUGUGUAAUGGAGUAUGGAAACAUUAAAGUGCGGCAACGUUGGCAGUGACUAGUCUCAGCGCAGCAGAUAGCAAUACAUUUUACGAAACAACAAGCGAAUACAUUGGUACGCAGUGUGGUGAAAAAUUUCUGAGGUGAAUUCUUUUUGAGUUUUUGCCACUUUUAAGAGAGUAACAUAGUUGAGGUGAAAGAGAAAUUUGAAAAAAAUUGUAGUUUUAAACUUAAAAAAAAUUACUUGAAAAAUAAAAAAAAAAAACACUGUUUCAAAACAGGGUUGCCAAUUAAUAGCAUUUCUUUGUGAAUAUUUUGUGUUUUUGGGGUCGAAAGAAAUUUAGUAUGCGAAAGUGUAGUGUAGGGCAUAAACAAAAAAUACCAAGACUGGAAACUUUCGUACGUCUUUCCCCCCAAAACCCUUUUGUGUACAGUGUUGUCUGUGAAUAUAUGUAAAAGCCACCACGUUGGUAAAUGACGUUAACACUCAGACAUUUAUAGAUUCACGAAAUUUACCAACACGAACACAACGAUAGGUUCACGACAUUCACCUCACCUCGCAGCUUGUAGGCAAACGUCAGUUGACCGCCGAGUUUCCAGUCUUGGUAUUUUUUGUUUAUGGUAGGGUGUAUCGUGUAUGUAUAUUAAUUUUUGGUGUUAUUAAUCCUGAUAACAUGAUUGCCAAAAGAUCAACUGUUUGAAGAUGUUUGUAGGUAACAUCAAUUUUAUAACAGUAAAAAUCAAAAGUCAACUUGUGUUAAAUGUAUUGUUUUAAUGUUAACUAGUCGACCCCGCACUCAAAAUUCGAGUGCCAAUUGUAACUUUUAUUUAUGCUCAAAUAAGCACACUAUAUAAAUCACUUUAUUUACUACUAAGAAUAUGCAACACUUAAUUUUAUUCGAAAUUCGAGAAUGUCUUCGAAGGUUCUCGUCUUUGCUUUUAGAAGUUUCCACUUACAGAAGGGAGAGGGCGUGGUUCAGCACAUUUGUUUUUGUUUUUUUUUUCUCAAUUUCAAUUUAUUAUUUUUAUCUAUUUCGGUAAAAAAAAAUAAAAAAAGUAUACAUUCUGCACAUCUAGAUAAAAUUUCCUAUCGUUCGGUAUAUAAUUUAUGCCCCUUCGGUUUUUGUGGGCCGCGUAUUUUGUACCACAAAAUAAGUGUUUGCCGUUUUAUUAUAUGAUGUUUAAUGUUAAUGGAAUAACAGGACAAAAUAAUUUGGUUUGAAAGCGCAAGUUGACUUAUUUUUGGUAAGUUUCGAACGGCAGAAUUUAAAUAAUAACAGUGUGGUUCUCUUUUUUUUGUGGCUUUUGUUCCGAAACCUAUAUAAAUCUUUGUAACGGUUUUUUAGAAAUAUCAAAGGCUCAAGAGGUCAUUUCAUUUUAACCUCGAGAGUCGAGAGUAUUAUCCAAUGGGGUAUACGAAAACGCAAUUCAACGUCAUUAGGCGUGUUUCUAUCCGCAGUAGGAUUUCCCAAAAAAUAUCAAUACAAUAAAAAAAUAAAGCCAUUAUGUGGACCAAAAACACCCCCAUUAGUACAGGUAAAAUAGAACAUAAAAUUAAGAAAUUAAAAAAAAAAAUUGUUACACUCAUGAAACUUGGCAAAAAGUUUGCUUUUGGGAUAAGAACCAAGUACAAAAAAAGUCUAUAAAAAAAAAUUGGGUGGAAGGGUGUUUUUUCGCGGACAAGAGGGAAGGUCAAAAACAUACUGAAAAAAAUUGUUUGUCAAAUAUCAUCAUAUGACACAUGUUUUCAAGGUAUUUUUUGAUGCUGAAUCUAAUGACAUAAAAAUAAAGUCAAUACGAUUGCUCUAAAAAAAGUUAUUGCCGAUUAAAAACAAGGGUGCUUGUUUUUUGACUUCAACAAGUAAAAUAUAACCGAAACCCAUGUGAAAAACAUGCUACACUAAUAAAAUUCGGGAUGAAGGUUUUAGAUAAAGCAGGGACAAAGGAUUCAUAAAGUUCUUAAAAUUAUUUUUGGUGAAAGGGUGUUUUUUUGAUGGGUUAAGUUGUGUGUGAGGAAGGAAUCAUAACAGCUGACUUAAAUUUUAUUAAAUUUUAAAACUUGUUGUAAAUGUUUUGGUUGGUAUAAGAAUUAAGAAUCUAAAAAGUGUACAAAAUUAUCUUGAGUGAAAGGGUGUUUUUUUUUAAAUGAUGAAAUUCGGAAUUAGUACCACAAAAACUAUGAAAAAAUUGUUACACCAAUGAAAUUUGGUAAAAAUGUUUCAUUUAUAACAGAAACCAAGAACCCAAAAAGUCUAUAAAAAUAUUUUAGGUUAAAGGGUGUUUUUUUUGGGAAAUAGGGAAAAAUCUGCGAUAAGUCCGAUAAAAUCAAUGGUAUAAAUGGUACCCUUACGAAAUUCAUUAAAUAUGUUCUCUUUCCCAUAGACUUAUAGACUUUUUUUGUACUUGGUUCUUAUCCCAAAAGCAAACUUUUUGCCAAGUUUCAUGAGUGUAACAAUUUUUUUUUUUUAAAUGCCUAUUUUACCUGUACUACAUUGUUGUUCACAGUUUCCUAUUCACUAGCCUACCUGAUUGACGAAAAUUAACCAAAUUGUUUAGAGUCGGUUAAAGUCAAGUAAAAUAUUUAAUUUUGUUCAUCUUCUCUAUUCAAACGUAAAAGGGCAAAUACCAUCUAGUUCACAAAACUAGUGCACUUUCCGCUAACUUAACUCUCACUAAAAUAACUGCUAGAAAUCACUCUUCGGGCAUAUUAAUUCAGAACCUAAGUGGUGGAGUUGAAAAAUGUAUUUUUGCUAAAGAGAACUUAGCUGCAAUUAUUUUCAAAUUUCUCAACUUAGUAACGUAUAACUUUUCUAACGUUUCAGCUUUUUUUAAAUCACAUAACAUCAUUGCCAAUAUCAACCAUGUUUUUGAAGUUUUUUUUUUACUGACAAAAUUAUUUUAUCAGAACGUUAUUAAAAAUAAAAAAAAAAUAUUAUUUAUUUACCAAUAUAACAUCAACAAAACAAAAAAAAAAAAAACUUGUAUUUCUCAUAGCUCUGGUGAGUUUAGGAAUGGUGAGCAAUUCUAUCAAUUUUCUCUUAAAAAGUUUGUUGUGAUGAAAUGGUGAAAAUGGUAGAAUACGAAUAAAACAGUUCUCACGAGUCUGGUGGAGACAUGGUGAAUGUACCUCAAGCUCAAAGGAAUGCGACCACUUCAUUACCAAACCAAGUGCCGAACCGGACACGGGAGUAAAACAGAUGAUACUUUACAGACUGGUUUUAUUUUCCCCCAUCGGCACAGCACAACAUUUAGUUACGAAUCGAACCUCGAACUGUAACAACGUAACGGCGCAGUGUGGUGGAUUUAUCUAUAUUCGUCAUCUCUUCUCGUGUCGUCGUCGCCGUCGUCGUCGUCUGUCAAACGUUGCCGUGUUGCGACUUGCGAAUGUUGUAAAAAAAAGUAUCUUGAAGUUUCAUUCAUGGGUGUAAUGUAGUCCAAAACAAGUUUUUCUUCGAAUUUUUAAAAAUAUGUGCAUGUAUGUAGGCAGCUAUAACAACUACAAAACAUGUACACGAGUUUGCAUGUGGACUAAGUAAUAAAAAAACAACAACAAAAACAGGAGCGAAUACCAUCAGGAAUUUCACAUGUAAACCUUUUUUUCGGUAUCUUGAUCAAAACCUUGAAAGUGUCAUUGUUUAUAUUAAUUAAAUUAAAAAUUGUUAAGAAAAUUAAUAAAUAAAAUAUUAUUGAUUAAAGUGACGACAUUUUAAUGUUUCCCCACAUUCUUCUGCCUGAAAAUCUCGAUACAAAGUGAAUCUAUAUAGAAAGUGUGUUGUCUGCAGCCUAAAACUAGGAAAAUAUCAGUGAAAAUUGCAUUUGCAAAAGUGUUUUAACAUUUCAGAAUAAAAAUUGUGUGUCCUUCUUCGUCAUUUACUUCAAUGGGAUUCAAAACAGAGACGUGCACUUGAUGGAUACUUAUUACUCAACCCCUGAACUUUCUAGGAAUUUCGUACUGCGGUAAAUGCAAUUUGGUUUGUGUUUAGCUCAUUUCAACAAGGAAAAACCGUCCAGAAAGUAAAAAAAGGAUUAAAUGAAAAAGUGAAUCAAAGACAUACACACUGAAAAUAUUUUAAUGUGAAAUAAAAGAAAUGAAAAAAAAAAAAAUAUGAAGUGAAAAGUGGGUUAUCUAGUAUUUCUAAACAGUGUGUUUUGUAUUAAAUUUUAAGUUUAAACUUUUUCUUACCCUGUCCCUAUGUUAAUAGAGAAAAUUUCACACCAUAAAUUAUUGAAAGAGUGAUAUCUGUGAUUAGACAGUUAUUUUAUUAAAUCUUUGGCAAUAAAUUCCUUUUAAAGGAUAUAAAAAAAGCAAAGAACGUUUUAUGAAAGAAAGAUAUAUUGUGUUGUUUCUAAAAACAAAGUGCUACUUAUUUUUGACCAUAAUUUUAAUUAUAUAAAAUUGAAUAAAGAUGUUAACUUGCGUUUGUCAACCGGUUUCUGGCAAUUUGCCAAAAAUGGCACCAUCAGCGAUGCCACAAAAGCGCAGCACAACAGCAAUUGUUGUUACAUCGGAGCCAAGGAUUGGAACCGCAACAAUUGUCAAACAAAAGAAGGUGCCCGGAAGGCCGACAUCUGCCGAACUAAGGGCAAUGGCACUUCGGCAGCAACAACAAAUCGAUUCUCAGCACCAGCUGCUUGCAACCAAAGAACAACGUUUACGAUUCCUUAAAGCACAAGAAGUACGUGGUGCAGCUGCUGCUGCUGAAGGUGAACGCUUGCGACGAUUACGUGAGCGUGUCGAAGCGCAGGAGUCAAAAUUGCGUCGGUUGCGGGCGUUACGUGGGCAAGUUGAUCUGCAAAAAACCUACAAUGUUACCCUAAGUAACGAUUUGGAUUCCAUUCGAGCGUUGUUUAGCGAAAAAGAGAAAGAACUAAGUUUAGCAGUUGCAAAAGUGGAAGCUCUUACUAGGCAACUUGAGGAUCUUAGGCGUGAUAGAAGAGGACCACUUAACCUCAUACCAGGCAAUGGAGCAUGUAAUGUACCCCAGCCAUUGCCAACUCAAGCGGCGCGAGAACUUGAGAAAUUAAGAAGAGAAUUAAUGUAUCGAAACCAACUAUCUCUUCAACAAGAUGCUCGCCUACACCUGCAAAGAGAAGCUUUACAACAACGGCAAGCUGAAUUGCGUUCAGUUGAUCAAAGAAUAUUUGAACUACAAACGAGGCUGCAAAAGAAAAAAGCAUCAAAUCUUAAUCUGCAGCAGCAGCAACAAAACAGCCCACAGAUUUCGCCAAAAGAACGGCCUCAACAACAAAAACAUCAACAAAAUACUACAUCAUCAAGAUCAUCAUCACAAGUUAAAUCAACACAGAGAUCAUCCUCAGAGGGAGACAACAAAACACAACAGCAACAAUCUUCAAUGGUUUCCACAAACAUACCACUUAGUGUUCGACCGUCGAAUAGUGUGUAUCCUUCACAGCGAGUAGUCCCUCGUGGUAAUGUGGCCGCUGUAGAACCAUACAUUCAUACCCCCCAAAAAUCGGUCAAACCAUCAACUACCGCUCCUGUGAGUGCCACUCACGUAGCUAAGCAGUCAGCGGCAACAGCUAAUACUAACCAGCAAAAUCAGCUUAUACAAGAUUUGACAAAUCUCAAGAUUAAUUUGGCUCAUGUAAACUCCAGCGUAAGCGUUAAUCACCUAUCUUAUGCUGAAAGUGAUGAAACAAAGUUGGCGCGGCAAAAAUUGUCUGCUCUGCCAACGGGUAUGAUAACCACCAAUUUCCACAGUCCAACAUCGCUUGGCAAAGAGGAUGAGAGUGAGAACCCCAUUGAGAUUUCCUCAAAGAAAUCCACUGUCUCUUCUUCCUCGGAAGCGUCGGCUAAAGCAACUUCUCUGCCAUAUAGUAGUAAGAUACCGAAAAGCAUUUCAGUCAAGCCUGUGGUUUCCACAAACAAUACGACCACAUCGAAUGAAUGUGAUUCAGAGAAGGCUGGUGAGGUUCCAUUAACAUCAGCUCACCAACUCACCGUACAUAGCACUCCCUUGGGAUUGGUAAACAAAUCAGUAGCGCUGGCAGUUUCUACUGCAACAACCACCAGUACUACAACAACAGCACCCAGUCAGCAGCCGACGAGCCCUGAUAGUAGACCAGCUGUAAAGCCCAAAGCACUUCACCACCAAAUUCCAUCAGGAAAUCUUGUCGUUCCUCCAAGAAAACCGAUCAGCAGUGUUGCUCCUACUUCAAUGACAAGUUCAAUUCCAAAAAUUGUCGCCCAUAGUCCUAAGGUCAAUAAGGUUGCACCUAGUGUAAUCAUAGACUCGGAUAAGUCAAGACCUGCGUUACCACCCAAACCUAGCAAACUUUCUCCCACAGGAUCUGACAGUUCCAUGCAGGUCCAAUCAACGGUUUCAACGGCCCCCACUGUAGUUAGUGUGAUAAACAAAGCUCCCAUAUCUGAGCCUAACACGACAGCAUCCAACGAAAUUGCCCUUGCGAGCUCCGUAGCUGGCAGCCAUAAUACCGAUAACCUGCCAAUCAAGGCUAAACCCCUUACUAUUCGAAAACAGCCGCUUUCGGAACAACCUCGACUGAAAUGUGUUACUUCGGGCUUAAAACCAGUUCAUCAGUACAAUUCCAGAAGGAUAGAAAUGCCUCCGGCGUUUCUCUUUCCAGAAAUUGACCGAGCCGAACUGAAAGACAAAACGGGUGCUUCUAACCAAUCGCAGCAACAAUCCCAACAUCAAAAUCAAUCAGAUUUGAAUGGCAACGGAUGUUCCACGGACGAGCUUGACAAGGCCGUUGUAAUUCAGGCUAGUGAAGAGAAGUCUCCAGACGAUGUAAAGCAUCGCUUAAAGCACGAAAACGGCAAAGCGAAGCUAGCCCGACGAGUAAGUUUCGACCCUCUGGCCUUGCUUUUAGAUGCUAGUCUGGAAGGUGAGCUGGAACUGGUCAAGAAAACUGCCAUGCAAGUGCCCAAUCCAAGUGCAGCCAACGAUGAGGGUAUAACAGCACUUCACAACGCCAUUUGUGCUGGACAUUUUGAAAUCGUCAAAUUCCUUGUUGAAUUUGGUUGUGACGUCAAUGCCCAAGAUUCUGACGGCUGGACACCACUUCAUUGUGCGGCCAGCUGCAAUAACCUCUCGAUGGUAAAGUUCCUGGUGGAAAAUGGAGCAUGUCUUUUUGCUGCUACGCUUUCAGACCAUGAGACUCCGGCUGAAAAAUGCGAAGAAGAUGAAGAAGGUUUCGACGGAUGCUCUGAAUACCUCUACAGUAUCCAAGAGAAACUCGGCAUCCUCCAUAGCGGGGAGGUGUAUGCAGUGUUCUCCUACGAUGCUCAACAAUCCGACGAAUUGAGUUUCGUUGUCAAUGAUCGAUUAACGAUACUACGGAAAGGCGAUGAUGCUGAACGUGAAUGGUGGUGGGCGAAGAAUUUCACUGGAGAAGAAGGUUACGUGCCACGGAAUCUGCUGGGGAACUUAACGUGGUUGUGAUAAUUAAAGGAAGAAAAAAAUCUACAAGAGUUGGGUGAAUUUACCUUUCCUUUAUGCAAUAGGAGAAGUGAAUAAAGCAAAAAAUUAAUUUACCUACCUCCUCUCGUGAAGGAUUGAAGGAAGGAUAAACUGGAAAAAUUUUAAGCAUCGUCCCCAUUGUCCUUGGUUGUUCUUAUAAUUCCAUUGGCUUAUUGGAUUCUGAUUAACCGACAUCAUUUUGGUAUUCACCCUGCGGAUGAGAUUCCAAACUGAAUUGGUUCAAUUUAUCUGUAAAAGGAUGAAAGUAUUGAAGGACGUGGACGUCUCUACCCACGAGUCCCAUUGCAGACCACUAACUUCAUCGAUUAGCAGUUAUUUAAAUACUGGAUAUUAAAAAAGAAAUCUGGCCGAAUAGUACAGAAGCACUACAUAUCAAAGUACUUGUAAAUUGAGAGACCAACUAUUCUAAUUAAAUACAUAACAUAUAAUGAAAAAAUAACAAUAUAUUAUUUAAAGAAAAAAAAACUGAGAAUUGAAGAAUUUAUAUUCCAAAAAAUCAACCAACUACAAACUUACUUUUGCAAUGCACGCGAACACGAACUAUGUAAUUGAUUAAUUUAUUUUAAAUUCAAUUUUAUUAGAGAAUUAUAUGUUUAUCUACUUACCACCUACCUUAUGUAUAAGAAACAAAUUAAUAACACUUUAAUCAAAAGAAACCAUUUAUAAAAUGAAAUGCAAUAAAUUAUUGUUAUGUAAAUUGAACAAAAACACAUGUAUAUAUUAAAUAACAAAAUAUAUAGGUACUCGUGUAUACACAAGUAUAAGUGAUUGUAUAAAAGAAUUUAGUUAACUAAGUGGAAUUACUCCGAGUUUUCAUAUAUAUACAUAUAUAUAACUUAAAAAUGAAACAAAUACAUACCUACAUAUACAUACAUACAUAUAUAUAUAUACAUAUAUACCAACUGUUUAUAUUUAUAAAAAAAUAAAGUAACUUAAAAUAAAUUAAAUUAUAUUGACGAUGUGAAAGUUAACGAAGAAUAAAACGUGAAUUUAUUCUAAAUA